CGCCUCUUCCAGCCCAGCAUCCAGCUGGCCCGCCAGGGCUUCCCUGUGGGCAAGGGCUUGGCGGCAGCCCUGGAAAACAAGCGGACCGUCAUCGAGCAGCAGCCUGUCUUGUGGGGGCAUUGUGACAGCUGAGGACCUGAACAACUACCGUGCUGAGCUGAUCGAGCACCCGCUGAACAUCAGCCUGGGAGACGCAGUGCUGUACAUGCCCAGUGCGCCGCUCAGCGGGCCCGUGCUGGCCCUCAUCCUCAACAUCCUCAAAGGGUACAACUUCUCCCGGGAGAGCGUGGAGACCCCCGAGCAGAAGGGCCUGACGUACCACCACAUUGUAGAGGCUUUCCGGUUUGCCUACGCCAAGAGGACCCUGCUUGGGGACCCCAAGUUUGUGGAUGUGACUGAGGCCAGCUCUGGGGUCUCGGCAGGUGGUCCGCAACAUGACCUCCGAGUUCUUCGCUGCCCAGCUCCGGGCCCAGAUCUCUGACGACACCACUCACCCGAUCUCCUACUACAAGCCCGAGUUCUACACGCCGGAUGACGGGGGCACUGCUCACCUGUCUGUCGUCGCAGAGGACGGCAGUGCUGUGUCUGCCACCAGCACCAUCAACCUCUACUUUGGCUCCAAGGUCCGCUCCCCGGUGAGCGGGAUCCUGUUCAAUAAUGAAAUGGACGACUUCAGCUCUCCCAGCAUCACCAACGAGUUUGGGGUACCCCCCUCACCUGCCAAUUUCAUCCAGCCAGGGAAGCAGCCGCUCUCGUCCAUGUGCCCGACGAUCAUGGUGGGCCAGGACGGCCAGGUCCGGAUGGUGGUGGGAGCUGCUGGGGGCACGCAGAUCACCACGGCCACUGCACUGGCCAUCAUCUACAACCUCUGGUUCGGCUACGACGUGAAGCGGGCCGUGGAGGAGCCCCGGCUGCACAACCAGCUUCUGCCCAACGUCACGACAGUGGAGAGAAACAUUGACCAGGCAGUGACUGCAGCCCUGGAGACCCGGCAUCAUCACACCCAGAUCGCGUCCACCUUCAUCGCUGUGGUGCAAGCCAUCGUCCGCACGGCUGGUGGCUGGGCAGCUGCCUCGGACUCCAGGAAAGGCGGGGAACCUGCUGGCUACUGAUUGCUCCAGGCGGACAAGGCUGACAAGCAAUCCAGGGACAAAAUACUCACCAGGACCAGGAAGAGGACUUUGGGGGACGGGCUUCUCCUGUGAGCAGCAGAGCAGCACAAUAAAUGAGGCCACUGUGCCAGGCUCCA
rnacentral:sRNA from 1 species